AAACAGGAGUCAGCUAAGUGGAAGGGGAGAAGGAGGACAAGAAAAGAGAAGUCCGGCAGUGUGAACAGCAUGUGUGAAGGCCCAGAGGACCACCUGCCAGGCACAGAUCCAGAAAGAAACCAGGACCAGCCCUGUCCACAAGGAGCUGUCUGCAGAGGAGACAGGAUGCCUGUAUAGAAAAUAGGGCUGCAGCAUCAGACGGCUGCUCCCCACCCAGGAUGGAAGGACAAACAGAGAGGACGCAUCAGGGAAGGGAGAGGCAGAGAAAGCUGACUAGGCAGGGAUGUUGAUCAGACCUGGGCACUCUGCAGUGAUGAUCAGCAGCUCAAGAGCAAGGGUGGCUCCUGACCGUGAGGGGUCAGCACCAGGCCCACAAGCCUGUCUGUUGCACCAGUGCCCAGGAGGGGCUGUCGACUGCAGAACUGUUUUCUCUGGCUCGACCUCACCCAGAACCAGCGGCAGAAAGGCCAGUUAUGCAACCAUCCUCACCACAGCCUGCCAGCCUCAGAGGCUGGGCCUGGCCGCCGGGCCUGGCCGCCAGGCCUGGUAAGGAGACUGCUGUGGCCUGCACAGCACAAGGCCAUCCUGGGCCCCAACUGCCACUUUCCAUGCAGGUGCAAGACGCUCUGCUGACAAAUACCUGGGGAAAGCAGGAGCUGUGGGAGGGAGGUAAAAAUAGCACAGUUGGCAACAGAGAAGGCUUUUCUAAGUCCUCAGGGUCCUAUUAGUCCUUGUCCAUGGGAUACACAUGAGCUGGCACUGAGCAUUCUCUCUUCUCCAAGGCUCAUGCUUAGAACAGGCACAGAGGCCUGGGAGGCCUCUUGUAUCAUGUCAGGAGCUGCACAGUGAUCAGAAGUUAGGGAGAGCGCCUGUUGCAGAGGCUGGAUUUGGAGGAUAUGCUGGGGCUGCCGUCAUAACCCCACAUCCCCAGUGGGUUCUCUCUGGCCACUCCCUCUACGGCCAGUUCUGUUUUCUCCCCAUUUUUGGAAACCCAAAUUCUUGAUGUUUCUGUUAUUCACAUUGCCAUUAAGAAUUAUGGGCUUUGCACUGUGUUUUUAAUUUGUUGUGUAAGGGUUUUACACAAACACAGCUAGAUGCCUAGAAAAGACAAUGUAUAUGGGCAUGCAGGCUGUGCACUGCACAACUCCAGAGGGCUUCAUUCAUGACCAGGAUGUGAGUGGCGCCCUGGAAUCAUGCAAUGUGGUUACCGGUAUUGCCAGAGAGGAAAUGAUGUCUUACAUGACCCCAUAUCCCCGGGAAAAGGCCAGCCAUGCUAAUAAAGAUUUGCUAACUAACCAAUUUGUCUCCUGCUUCCAAAU
rnacentral:lncRNA from 1 species